AUGGCCGUGGCUGGAUCCGACCAGGCUGCUGGCUGGAUGAUGCUGGACCGUUUCGUCUACCGCAGGGACGAGGACCACGGCGGCGGCGGCUGGCGCUUCCCGGACGAAUCUACGGCGCCCCUCAGGGCCACCUCGUCAACCUCUCUCGGCAGGCCUUUCGAGGUCGCCAUCCUGCACGCCGAGCCGCCCGCCGUCUCCCGCCUCUACGUGCGGUGGCCCGGCGGCACCAAAGGAAAAUACGGCUCCGGCACCGUGCUUAUGGCCGCGCACCGUGACUUCAUCCUCUUCCAGCUCGUCUCCAUGGCAGGUGAUAUCACGCAUGACCACUUCGUCUGCAUAGCAUGCUCGGAUCCUGCAGCUGGGCCGCACAUGGAGCUCAAACGGCUCCCCCUUUGCACCAUACCCAUGGUCGUCUUACCUCCGUGCUGUGAGGAAGACACGGAGGGAACUUCUUCUUGUGAGGAAGACACGGAGGGAACUUCUUCUUGCGAGGAAGACUCGGAGGGAACCACUAUGCAGCGAGUGUUUUUCCCCAACACCGUAGGGCUCAUUCGCGGAUCAUCCCCUGGCCAUGAAGAAGAGUUUGCCGUCGCACAGCUGGGUAUGGUCACCCAGAUACGAGGCGCCUACCAGAUGGAAGCUGAAGUGUGCGUACUCCGCUCAUGUGUGUCGGCUCCUGACGACGCUGGCAUGUGGGAGGUUCAAAAGAUACCUAUUCAGCAUAAGACUUAUGAAUUCCCGGCCCUGGAUAAUUGGUUGACGGAUGCUGUCAUCACAUUCAACAAAUAUAUCUGCUGGAUUUCCUACUACACAGGAGGUAUUCUAUUCUAUGAUAUAUUUGCAGAAACACCCAACAUUUUUUAUCUACCGUUACCUACCGCUAACCGUCCUAGAAAAAUGCAAGAAAGAGGUUUCCUUGAGAUGAACCGUAGCCUCUGUGUCACCGGUGUUGGAGGUGAUCUACUCAAGUACACUUCUGUUGUUCGCCAUGAUGAAAAACUCUGCGGCCCACUUGAACCUCGGACAGGUUAUACCAUCGUCACUGAUACUUUGAGCAUAACGGAGAGUGGUGAUAUAAACUGCUUCCAUGAAAGGGUAAAGAUAGCUUUUGAAUUGUGGCAUUACAACACCUCCGAAUGUCUCCCGCGUGAAGGCCUGAUGUACCCUCUUGUGAGCAUGGACAACCCUAGUAUUGUGCACUAUUUGAUCUCUGGGGAAGGAGAUAAGAUUGACAAGGUUUCCAUGGUUGCGUUGGAUAUGAUUACUCAGAAAGCCACUUCAAUUGUUCCAUAUAUUAAAGGAGAGGAAGACCUCUGUGGCCAAGAUGCUGACAUGGUUAAAGAAAAGUCACACCUUCUCACGUCCUUCCUUCCAUCCGAGUUCCCCAAGUUCUUGAAUCUCACAAGGUAUUGA
rnacentral:rRNA from 1 species